AUUCUAGCAUUAAUUAAUAUAUUUUAAUGGCGGCCGCUCAUACACCUGAUUAGAUCUCCAGCAAGAAGAGGAUGAGAACUGAGAAUAACUUAGCUUGAAGAAAUUGGACUGGUAGAUUGAUUAGCAAACUACUACAAGAAUAAAUAACGUAUCAGAAUUACUUACCGUUUGGACCAACGCAAAGGAUAGUGAAAAACUUCAUCAAACUGGUUUCCUUGUACGCAGAUUUUGUUUGGCUGCUUUGCUG
rnacentral:lncRNA from 1 species